GAGGCGAAGACAAUUUCAUUCCCCUUGGACACUUACUAGUUUGGUGAUGUGCACUGACCUCGGAGAAAUGCUUUAUUGGGCGGAAGCUUCUGUUCUUAGUUGUGUCGCUCAGAAGUGUGGGUCCCUAGACACCUUAUUUUCCUGCUUUGUUUCCUUCGAGCGAAAUGGAAGAGGGAAGGGACUAACAUUCACUUUGCCCGCGGUGUUCCCAGUUCAUUCCGUUCCCUUCUAACACUCCUCACCGGCACUUGGCACUGUCUAGUGUUUUGGUAGCAGCCAUCCUGCUCUGUGUAAGUAGUAUCUCAUUGCCGGGUUUUGUUGUUGUUUUUUAGAGACAGCAUCUCACUCUGUUACCCAGGCUGGAGUGCAGUGGCACGACCAUAGCUCACUGCAGCUUCGACCUCCUGGGCUCAAGCGAUCCUCCCACCUCAGUCUCCCCAGUAGCUGGGAUCACAGGCAUGCACCACCAUGCCUGGCUAAUUAACAAAAAAAAAAAGACAACUUUUUUUGGAGAGGGAGGGUCUCAUUAGGUUGCUCAGGCUGGUAUUGAACUGAAGUGAUCCUCCUACGUUGACCUCCCUAAGUGCUGGGAUUACAGCUGUG
rnacentral:lncRNA from 1 species